AACGAACGCUGGCGGCGUGCCUAACACAUGCAAGUCGUGCGAGAAAGUUCCUUCGGGAGCGAGUAAAGCGGCGCACGGGUGAGUAACACGUAGGUAACCUGCCCCCCAGUCUGGAACAACUAGAGGAAACUCUAGCUAAUGCCGGAUGAGACCACGAUCCCUUCGGGGGUUGCGGCCAAAGAUGGCCUCUACUUGUAAGCUAUCGCUGAGGGAUGGGCCUGCGGGCCAUUAGCUUGUUGGUGAGGUAACGGCUCACCAAGGCUGUGAUGGCUAGCUGGUCUGAGAGGAUGACCAGCCACACUGGGACUGAGACACGGCCCAGACUCCUACGGGAGGCAGCAGUGGGGAAUAUUGCGCAAUGGGCGGAAGCCUGACGCAGCGACGCCGCGUGGGUGAUGAA
rnacentral:rRNA from 1 species